GACGAACGCUGGCGGCGUGCUUAACACAUGCAAGUCGAACGGAAAGGCCUCUUUCGGGGGGUACUCGAGUGGCGAACGGGUGAGUAACACGUGAGUAACCUGCCCUUGACUUUGGGAUAACUUCAGGAUACUGGGGCUAAUACCGGAUAGGAGCUCCUGCUGCAUGGUGGGGGUUGGAAAGUUUCGGCGGUUGGGGAUGGACUCGCGGCUUAUCAGCUUGUUGGUGGGGUAGUGGCUUACCAAGGCUUUGACGGGUAGCCGGCCUGAGAGGGUGACCGGCCACAUUGGGACUGAGAUACGGCCCAGACUCCUACGGGAGGCAGCAGUGGGGAAUAUUGCACAAUGGGUGGAAGCCUGAUGCAGCAACGCCGUGUGCGGGAUGACGGCCUUCGGGUUGUAAACCGCUUUCGCUCAUGACGAAGCGUGAGUGACGGUAAUGGGUAAAGAAGCACCGGCUAACUACGUG
rnacentral:rRNA from 1 species